GGUGACUCAGUGGUAGAGCGCUUGCCUUGCAUGCAAGAGGCCCUGGGUUCGAUUCCUCAGCACCA
rnacentral:tRNA from 1 species